CUUUCUCUGUUUUUUUUUACUGUUGGAGUAGUGGGUUUUAUCUUGUUUUGUGUUAUUGUAUAUCUUUGAUUACUGGUUUGAUGGAUCAGUUUUUUGUAUGCUGAUUAGGGGGUUUUAUGAUUUCUUCGUUUUGAGGUUUUCUUUCUUGGAUUUAAUAGAUAAAAUCGUUUAUGUUGCGUGGAGUUUCAUGAAAAAUGAUUGAUGAUUCUGGGUAAAAAUUAAUUUAAGAAAAUCAAGUGAAGGGUUUUUAUUAACAUUCAUAAUUAAACAUGUACAUUACUUAUUUCAAGUAGUUAGUUAGUUAGUUACUUUCCAUUUUAUAGUUAGUGGUGUCAUAGUUAGUUAUGUAACUAAUUAGUUUGUUAGUUUGUUAGAUUGUUAAGUUGUUAGUUACUCUUUUCUUUCUCCACUAGAUUGACAAUCUCACAUGUAUAUAUACACCUCUUGGGUGAUCAAUGCAAUCAAUCAAUCAUCUUCUACAAUACAAUCUCAAGAGUAUACUUUGAUAUUCUCCUUAUGGAACUUCACAGCCUCAUCAAUGGCUGCUCAAGUUCAGCUUGAAGGUUUCGAUAGUUUUGAGGGUUAUUGAUAUGCAAUGUUUUGUGGAUUUUCUUUUUUGUUUUGGUCCUAUUGUCCUCAUUUCUGUUUGAUGUAGUCAGGGUAUAGUUCCCUCCAAGAGGUUAUCAAUCUCUUCAGGGCAUAAUUGGUUUUGGGAAGAGUAGCUGCAGAUAAAGACUGCCUUAUAAUGAGGCAUGUUGGAUUACCUCUUUUUAUCCAUUCCUGGAUGGCUUUCCCUUCAUUUUUUUGAUCGGUUUCAAGCGUGAAGGGAUCAUUGAAUAUCUGUCCAGUUAUUGGACAGACAAAAUCUUUUGGUGUCCUUGAUGGAGCAGUCAACUUAUCUUACAAUGGGAGAGAAAUGCAGCUGAGACUUAUUCCGAGAGAUGUCAUUGUUCGAAGAGAUUUAGAAAAAUUUUAUCUCCUCCUGUAUUAGAAACUAGAAAGUGACUUUUAGAGACAUACCCUUUUUCUAAUGAUUGAGUCCUUAACAUGUCCAGACAAGAUGUGUAACACAGGUACACCUUUUCUCGAGGGGUAUCUGAUCUUCUUGGUGAAGGCUCUUCUGAAUAAGGAGUUUUUGGGGACUCCACUUCAGGGAACACCUUGGGAGAUUGCUUUUGGUUUGUAUUAAGUUGCUUGACUUUAGACCUGGCUUCUACUUAGGAUGAACUGUUUUCUUCAUUCGUGUUAUUUGACACAAUGUGUACAUGUGUCUCAGGCUUCAUCCUCUUCGGUAAUUCCUUUAUGAGUAUGACAAGAAAGACCAAUGCAUUAACUUGAAUAAACUCAGUACCACAAAUGAUCACCAAUUCAUAAUCUUACAACAGGAUGUAGCAAAGAUAAAGGCAAAAAACUAACUACUUUUCCCAAAUUGUGGAGUCCUCCUGAUUAUCAGACGAUGAAGAAGUCAUAUUCAAUCUGCUAAGAUCCAAAUGAAUACAUAUACAAAUGUUGACAUUUUCUUUGUCAGUUCUCAUAAGUCAUAACAAACAUUCAGUAACUCCUAGUUACUAGACCUUACCAGCUUACCUUGACUCUCCUUUUUGCGUUCUCCUUAUAUCUCCGAAUAUGAGUAAAGCCGGCUCUCUUAGGCAACAUUGUGAUAUUUGGAAGUUGAAUUCUUUGUUUAUUGACUUCCCUUGUAUAUAAAACAAAUUCACUGUUUUUAGCAGGAAAUGCUUUAGUUAUCAAGGGAUUUGUUUUAUCUUUUUAAAAAUUAUGUUUGAGUUAAGUAUUCUUUUAAUGGCUGAAAAGUAUUAUGAAUGUACAAUUAUUUUGCAUUUAGUAGCAAAACCUUUGGCCUUUUUGUUUU